rnacentral:rRNA from 1 species
GAUGAACGCUGGCGGCGUGCCUAAUACAUGCAAGUCGAGCGAACAGACGAGGAGCUUGCUCCUCUUAGGUUAGCGGCGGACGGGUGAGUAACACGUGGGGAACCUACCUAUGAGACUGGGAUAACUUCGGGAAACCGGAGCUAAUACCGGAUAAUAUCUUUAACCGCAUGGUUCAAGAGUGAAAGACGCUCUUGCUUUCACUUAUGAAGGUCUCCGCGCGUCAUUAGCUAGUUGGGAAGUAAACGGCUUACAAAGGCAACGAUGCUUACCCGACCUGAGAGGGUGUUCGGCCACACUGGAAUUGAGCACCGGUCCAGACUCCUACGGGAGGAAGCAGUAGGGAAUCUUCCGCAAGGGGCGAAAGCCUGCCGGAGCAACGCCGCGUGAGUGAUGAAGGUCUUCGGAUCGUAAAACCCUGUUAUUAGGGAAGACGAUAUGUGUAAGUAAAUGUGCACCUAUUGACGGUACCUACUCAGAAAGCCACGGCUAACUACGUG